rnacentral:snRNA from 1 species
GUGCUUGCUUCAGCAGCACAUAUACUAAAACUGGAACAAUACAGAGAAAAUUAACAUGGCCCCUGUGCAAGGAUGACAUACAAAUUCAUGAAGCAUUCCAUAGUUUU